rnacentral:lncRNA from 1 species
AAUCUCUCCUAAGAAGUUGAAUCACUCAUUUUGGAUCUCACUCUGUCACCCGGACUGGAGUACAGCGGCACCAUCUUGGCUUACUGCAGCCGUGACCUUCUGGGCUCUGGCAAUACUCCCACCUCAGCCUCCCUAGGAGCUGGGGCUACAGGCACAUGCCACCACGCCCAGCUAAUUUUUGUAGAGAUGGGGUCUCACCAACUUUCCAGGGCUGAUCUGGAACUUCUGAGCUCAAGUGAUCCACCCACCCUGGCCUCCCAAAGUGCUGGUAUUACAGGCAUCAGCCACCACGCCCCGCCAAGCAAGAACUUUUGCCCUCUCAGUCCUCCACGAUCAGACGGAGUUCUGAGUCACUUUUAUGCCCCCUUCACACAACUUCACGCCGACUGUUUUUCCUCGAGAUACAGCCUCUGCUCCGUGCCCUGACUCAAUGCCAGCUCCUAACUUGCAGUUGUGUUCCUUGCUGUGACAUCCUAUAUGCUGAAUGUCCAUGGAGAAGUGUGGCUCACUUUAACCCGACUAAUUUCUAAAAAAUAAGUCAUCACAACCAAAGAUGGGCAUCAUGUUAAAAGACAGCUUUCAACACAAUCCAUGUAGCCCUGAGGGUAAUACAAGGUACACCAGGUACCAGGUAUACCAGGUGUUUCCCAUGUGUGCUUCCAGACAGAUUCCAACAGUCAGUCAUGACCAGACAAAUAUGUUUCCGAUAAGGACAUAGGCUUGAGAUCACUCUGAAAAGCAAGGAAAGUUGUACCACAGCAUGUUUAUAUCAACUGAUCUUGGACUUGGGACAGUUUAAAAGAGAUGAAAACAACAGAGUAACUUCAUUUUUUCUUGCAACUCAUUCAAAAUGUAUGAAUUUUGCAACUUUUUUUUUUUUUUUUUUUUGAGACGGAGUCUCACUCUGUCGCCCAGGUUGGAGUGCAGCGGUCUUAUCUCGGCUCACUGCAAGCUCCGCCUCCCGGUUGACAUCAUUCUCCUGCCUCAGCCUCCCAAGUAGCAGGGACUACAGGCACCUGCCACCAUGCCUGGCUAAUUUUUUUGUAUUUUUAGUAGAGUUGGGGUUUCACCAUGUUAGCCAGGAUGGUCUGCAGAAUUAUUUUUAUGCAGAAUUUUAUAUAGGCUACAAAAGGCCUUCGCAGGAUUAGAGGCAUUCCUCCUCUCUAGCUGCCCAAUCAGUCUUGGUCACCCCAGCCCCUCUCUCUGCUGCCCCCCACUUCACCCCGUCAAUGGCGAGUCCCUUUCUUACUCCUCCAAGGUCCACUGUGUGCACAAAGCAUCUUCCCAUAUUCAGAUCUGUUUCCAGUCAAACAGGUGACAAAUUCAUUCCAAUGAAAUUAUCUGUGACCGUUCACCUCUCCCACAUGCACCAACGUCUUAAGCCAGAGAAGCAAUACUUGUUUGACUUGAGUGAGUAAUAAAUGAUCAUUAUAAAUGGAAGAGAGAGGGUCUUCCCGCAGCCCUAGAAGUUUAAACACAGAAUUUUCCAGCUGCUUCUGCCACUUGAAUGCCAUGUAUAUAUAUUUUGCUGAAUAAAAACCAGGCCA